rfam:Myotis lucifugus cont2.15659, whole genome shotgun sequence.
AGGCCCAGAGAGAGAGGCGGGGUCUGAUCCGCAGCUCCAUGGCAGCUGUUGAUCAGCAUUGCCUCUCUCUUUUUCUCCA